rnacentral:lncRNA from 1 species
CAAACAAGUAAAUAAAUUAUAGGCAGUGGGAGCCAGUUUCUCACUAAAAGAUGAAGAAGUUUCAAGUAAAAUGAACCCUGGGAUACAUAAUUAGGACCAGAGUGCUCAUAUGAUCUCGUGUUUAACAGGUCCAGAGCAAGAGAUAGAGAGAAAUGCAGUUCCAGGUAUAUAUGGGUGAAUGCACACACAGAACAUCUCCACUGACCUUGCUUUUGAAAUAUCAUUUUGCCAAAACAGGAUCCAGAGAUCCCUAGAGAAAUACUAGAUUCUAGGGCUGGGACAGGACAGAUACAAGAUAAGCCAAGAGCAGCGGUGGCAAACCUGUGUCAUGCGUGCCACUGCAGGCUGCCCGUUACCACUGCAGGCUUUAAAAGGUUCACCAUCGCAGGCCUAGAGGAUCUUACAGUGCUGGAAGCACCAGAAGAGGCUGAGCUGCACAUGGCACAUCUGAAGAUGGUUCAUCCUCCACAGCAGCCUGCACCUCUGUGGAACUAGGCGGACGGAACAUCCCACCAGAAGCAUUAGACACACAGCGUGAAUAAAAACUAAACCAUCACUGCCUGGGCCACUAGGGAAAAGGUGCACAAACACUUCACCUAGCAACUCGAUUUCUGAGUACCCAUCCUGAUUUACAACCAGUUCUAAUGAGAAAACUAAAUAAAGAUGGACUCUAGAUAAUCAUCGAUCAGAGAAUCAUGAAAGACAUCAUCAAAAGCUGUGUGUCAUGAUGUAUAGCGUGAUCUCAUUCAUGUCCAAUAUACGUACGCAACU